CUACUGUUAGUGUUACAGAUUGUUGCUAUUGCAAACGGAAACUAGGCCAAUAGAGUAAGAGCCCAGGCACGACCAGUAAUCCCCUGCCUGGGAGCGGGGGACGAGGUGCCCGUUUCGUGUAUGUUGCUGUUACCCAGCGCCAGAACUGGCAUUCGGCAAAAUAAUCGUUUCGAGCCAAAGCACAAACACAACAGUAGAUCUCGGCCUGCUACCUCCUGCUCCAAAAGAAAAGGUAAUGAAGUACGAGCGCGUUGGAAGAACCUGAGAACAUGCAUUGCGAGGGAGCUCAGGGCACAGAAGAAAGGGGUGUCAGGCCAGGCAGCUGAUGUUUCUUCUUCCCACCAUAGAAGAUAGAAAGACAGCGAGUGACCAAACUGUUCAUGAAACCACUACUGAAGCCGAACAGAAGGUGCGCAACGAAGAUGAAGCCCAAUCUAGACCUAGGGCCCAAUCCUCCCAAAACCGGCGCUCACAAGCAGAUCCGUCUCUUUCUCAAAAGAGACAAGUAUCCUACGAGGAGACUCUUUUCUCAAUAUUCUGCAAGAUAAGCGGGAGGAGAUAGAUGAAGAUAAGUCUUUCCUUUUGUCUCUUUUGCCAGCAA